CCUAUUAGUUUUUUUUAAUAAUUUACAAAUACUCUCGAACAUGUCACCUGGGUUCCUGUGUUUUGACGGAAGUUAGAGUAACUAAAGGGGUCAAAUGUUUUAUGACGCCACUUACAGGCAUUAAAUGAAACGUUCCAUGUCAUU